UGCAGUCGAGCGAACUGACGAGGAGCUUGCUCCUUUGACGUUAGCGGCGGACGGGUGAGUAACACGUGGGUAACCUACCUAUAAGACUGGAAUAACUCCGGGAAACCGGGGCUAAUGCCGGAUAACAUAUCGAACCGCAUGGUUCGAUAGUGAAAGACGGUCUUGCUGUCACUUAUAGAUGGACCCGCGCCGUAUUAGCUAGUUGGUGAGGUAACGGCUCACCAAGGCAACGAUACGUAGCCGACCUGAGAGGGUGAUCGGCCACACUGGAACUGAGACACGGUCCAGACUCCUACGGGAGGCAGCAGUAGGGAAUCUUCCGCAAUGGGCGAAAGCCUGACGGAGCAACGCCGCGUGAGUGAUGAAGGUCUUCGGAUCGUAAAGCUCUGUUGUUAGGGAAGAACAAAUGUGUAAGUAACUGUGCACAUCUUGACGGUACCUAACCAGAAAGCCACGGCUAACUACGUGCCAGCAGCCGCGGUAAUACGUAGGUGGCAAGCGUUAUCCGGAAUUAUUGGGCGUAAAGCGCGCGUAGGCGGUUUUUUAAGUCUGAUGUGAAAGCCCACGGCUCAACCGUGGAGGGUCAUUGGAAACUGGAAAACUUGAGUGCAGAAGAGGAAAGUGGAAUUCCAUGUGUAGCGGUGAAAUGCGCAGAGAUAUGGAGGAACACCAGUGGCGAAGGCGGCUUUCUGGUCUGUAACUGACGCUGAUGUG
rnacentral:rRNA from 1 species